GUUGGGAGACUAAACCGCUGUUGUUCCUUUCAGAUAUUAAAUCUUGUAGUGUUACGAAGGCAAUUUUCAGCAGUCUUACUGGAGCCUGCUAGCUAAACCCCGUGUCUCCCUGUGGUCAGAGCCCACUGCCUAACCACCUCCAAACAGGGAAAAUGCAAGCCCAAAACACAACCUUCGUCUUGUCAGAAGGAAAACUGAGGUGGAACAGAAGGAACAUUGCAUAGAUUCGUUAUUUUGGGUUUUUUUUCCCCUGCUUGCACUCAGUAAAGAAGCAGCAGAUGUGACAAAGCUGACUGCAUCAGGUGAAGAAAGCUUCUAUUAACUGCAAUCUUCAGGUCCAAAUUUUACUCCAUAUUUUUAGAGCCUCUUCCCAAAAAUAGUAUCCCACACCCACAGAACUGUGACAAUUGUCGUGUUUGAAUUGCAUUUAAUUCUUUUAGUUCUUUAAGUGCUGGGUGUCUAUUAGGGUUCAGCUGAGGUCUGAUUUACCUCUAGCAAAGAAGUUGCUGAGUUUCUGCAGGUGGUGGCAAUCAGAGCCAUCUAGUGACAUCUUUUCCUGCCAUCUUCAAAUGAUACCUAGUCUUGAAUGAAAAGCAUACGUUCCUCCCUCUCCUAGUUACACAGUUUUAGAUUGGGACUCUCGUUCCUUCCUUUUAAAUAGUGAUUUAAUUAGUAUCUACUAUCCUUUGAAAUAUGCUUUCAAAGGAAAACUAGAAUAUUGUCUCAAAUUCAGGGACCAAUUAUCUCAAAAAAUCAGGUUGCAAGUUGCCACUUGGAGAUCUAAGAGAUAUCAUAACUUAGUAAUAUCACAAAAAGAGGAAAGCUCCCAGGAAUGUCUCAAGGAGGUAAUACAGUCUUAACAAGAAAAUAUGAAAAACUCAGAUUCUUUGCCAUCUUCAGGCAUGUUCUCAAAAAGAAACCCACCCAAAAGCACCCCCACAACAACCCUACUCCUAAGCAGAAAGGAGAUGAAGGAAUGAAGUGUUAGCAGCGAUAGUAGAAGUCACAUUUGCCAAAGUCUAUUUAAGAAAGGGGCUCCAAAAUACAGAUGGGUGUCCAAGAUAUUUCCUACUAAAAAUACAAAGUGAAGAAUCCUCGCAAGCCUCAUACAGUAUAUGGACAGCGAAUACACGCUCCGUCCUGCUGCUGUGACCCACCUUGCCUCUCUCAAAAGGUCAAUGUAUGACAGUACCUGUCUUAGAGUUCCAAACACUUCCACAAAGCUUCCAACGAGGAAUUACCCGCCUAGGAAGCCGAUCUCGAACCACCAUAGAGAACAGACAAAACCUUGUCUUACUAAAAAGCUUCAGUGAGUAGCAACGGACUCAGCACAAACCAGUUCUUGUAAUAAGAAUACAGAGAUUAUUAAUAAUAACCAACUGCUCUUGAAUUCCUGGCAUGAGCUUUGGGUGACACAACAACAAGACAAGCAGAAAGUACACUGCCGGGAAACGCAUCCCUGAAAGAUCAAUUUUAUUAUCUAAGCUAGCUUUGCAUUCAGCCACUAGAUGUCUUCAUUCUACAGAAAUACAACCUGCGGUACUAGUACUUUGUCCCAAGUGGAAGGUGCUGUGUGUGCAGUUAUACUCAAGGAGUUGCCUUUCAGAAAUAUUUCCCUUUUAGGCUGGAUUGUAAUUUUUGUAAGGCUUUCAGUUUCUCCCAGAUAUCAGUAUGAUUCCCCUGACCAUCACACACUUAGCCAGAUGCUUCCAACCAUGAAAUUUUGGAAAGCUGUUCAAUUAUUUUCUUCAAAACGGUACUUUGGAAAAAUCCUGAUAAUUUAGAUUUUGGUUAGAGCUUAAUAUGCAUAUAUUUUGUAUAGAAAGCUUGAAAUAUUUAGAAUAAAUAGUUCAGCUGGAAGGCAUCUACAACAGCCACGUAGUCCAACUGCCCCGACCACAAGUUAUCAGGGGCAUUGUCCACGUGGCUCUUAAACACUGGCCGGCUUGGGGCAUCGACCGCGAGGAAACCUGUUCCAGGGCUUGGCUACCCUGUUGGCAAAGAAAUGUUUCCUAAUGUCAAGUCCAAACCUCCCCCAUUUUAACUUAGCAUUACAAAACUGCAUUCAUUUCUUUUCUGGACUCUUAUUUGUGGUUGCUGGAUUUGAAUUAUAAGAAGAAGAGAUAACUGUCAUGUACAAAGGUUCUGUUCAACCUUAGUUCUGACUUUAUGAAGAAACUCUAUUGGUAGAAUUUUUGGGAAAGGUUCUGCUAAAUGGUUCAGCGUUUUAGAAAUAUUUAGGGGGGAAAAUUAUGCUGAGGACAUGCUGAAAAAAACCCCACAAAAUCCAGACCCAAAUUACUUGGCCUUAUGUUAUAAGGACUAAGUAGUAGAAGAAAUCAUCUUUUAUAGUGCAGAUUAUUUUAAAUUAUUCUAAGGCAAAUUAAGACCAUUCAGACACAUUGUUUCUGACAUCUACCAGCUUGAGAAUAGUGAAUUUGUUCAGCUUCUUAAUUUGUUAAUGUUUAAAGUAAUACACAAGGACCAAACAACUUUAAAAUACUGUCGUGCAUCCCGUCUCUGCUAUAUCGCUGCUUGGAAAAUCAAAACUUUAAAUGCAGAAGCAACUUAAAAAUAAAUACAUAAAUAAAUAAAAUCUGCAGUUCUGUUUGCUACACUGUAAGGGGAGCCAGAGAAAGGUGAAAGGUGUUCUGCCUUGAAUUGCAGAGGGGUUCUGAGAUGAUGUGAAAUGACGGUUCACGUUUCAACCACACUGAAAGAGAGAGCUGUGUAACCCAUCGGAUUUUUGCAGAUGCUUCCCUGCCCCUUUCAGCACUGUCUCUCUGAAGAACUCAAAAAAACCGGAAUCAGAUCAGACGUACACCCCAGGUAAACCUGACAGGCUGCAAGAGGCCAUCCGAACUGCACUUCUCAAACCUCUUCUCUCUACCAUGCCCACAGAACGAAGGCUCCUGCCGGCAUGUUGAUAAAAGGGCUAUUGCCGUACCUCCUUCUAGUAACGCUGGCUCGGAGCAACUGUCAACUUUGCGGUGACCUUUCGGAGAAAGCAAGGCUGUUGGAGGCAGGUCUGCUUGACGGCAGGGAGUUUGGCUUUGGAAACAGAAUUUAACCUGAUUAUCCUGGAAUUAAUAAGACAAGUGAAUGAUAUAAAAAUAUACGUGCAUGAUCACCACCACAGAGGCAUGUGUGAAGAUGAAGGAGCAAACCCGUGGCACGUGUUGCCAUAGGCACUCAAGUUAAAAAGGGAGCAGCCCUAUCCGAGCUCCCCCGAUGACAGAUGUGCUAGCACGGUUCGUUUGGGCUCUUAAAAAUAUACGAUAUGAGCAAAAUUAUACAAGCAAUAUCAAUGCCACCGGAGGUGGUGUUUGCUUUUUUAGAAAACAAGCUAUAACCAAGUAAACCGUCUGUUAGCUGUGGAAUAGCUCCUCGUGACUUCGCUAGCAGCAGCGCAGGGAGCUGUAUGGAGGGAAGUUUCUGGCCGUGGUAUCAGUGCAAGCAUGUAACGCUUGAGCUGCUUAUACCUUCCCUUACAGAGCAAGGGCUGCACAGAAGCUACUCUAUAUCCAGACCUCAGUAAGGCUUCUGCUUGGGAAAUUUCUGUAUUCCCACCCAGGACGUGGCUACAGGGUAGUUCAGAACUUUCCGUGCCCCCCCGGCUCACGCCUGUCUCCUCUCCCUGGGAGGUUCUGGAGGUUAUGCUGAGGGGUGCGAGACAAGCAUUUCUUCAGAGCAAUAUUUAACAGCAACGAGGCAGUUGCCUUUGCAACUCCCAGUGCAACUGAUGUGCCCCGGAUUCCAUGGGGAUCAGCAGCCCUGUCCCAAGUGAACGCUGUGGGGUGUUAUAAAAAUUGCCCAGUGCUGAUCAGGUGAUUCUUCCAAAAGUGACGGUGGGCAGCGGUGCAUACGUGGUUGUAAAAGCACCAGAUGAUUAAAAACGAAGGAAAACACGACAUCCCUGCGCUGGAAAAAGCUAACAAUGAGAGAGGUACAGCAGUUCCUGCGCCUCUCCCUGGUUAAUAAUGAUGCUGAAUGAGUAAGUGUCACUGAAAUCUGUUUUAAAACAUUGAGGGAAAUUGGACUUUUUGAACCUAGAAAAGUUUUGGGUUUGGUAUUGUUGGUUGGGUUGGGGUUUGGGUUUUUGGUUUUUUUUUGUUGUUGUUUUUUUUUUUUCAAAAAGAGAAUUUUGAAAAAGAUAAAACUAUAUGAUAAAAUAAUGAGAUGAAGGAGAUCAGAAGAUAUCUAUCCCUCAGAGACCUGCACAUCCUUCUGGAAAUACCUGUUACAUAGGAUUUUAUCAGAAAGAAGGCUGCUGUCAGGGCACAACCUGAGCUUUAUAGAUACUUCCUGAAGCAUUAUCAUCCAUGGCAAUCGUUACUCAAAUAAUUGAAACCUCUACUUUCUAAUCUGAGCUUUUAGCUUCCACUUUCAGACUACUGAUAAUCAUCUGUUGCUAGUGCGGUAUGACCAAAGUAGAUCUGACCUACUUGCCUUAAAACAAAUCAUGCUCUCUUUUAACCAGAGAUGGAAGAGUCAAAGUGAAAGAUAAGUGAUCCUGCUUCACAACUGAAGUUUGUUGUGCAGAACGAUCCUACUCAGGGGGAGCAGAAAAGGGAGUAGAUGGCUGGGCAGGGCAUGCUGACCCAACACCUGAGUGCUACCUGGUCAACAUGGCCAGGAUCUACUGUUAGAGCUAUUUCAAUAUAUUUGCCACAUCAUAUACAUUGCAAUAAAUGUGUGUAUAUAUAUA